rnacentral:rRNA from 1 species
UACGUAGGGGGCGAGCGUUGUCCGGAGUUACUGGGCGUAAAGCGCACGCAGGCGGUCUGCUAAGUUUGGAGUGACAGUUGGUGGCUUAACUGCCAAAGUGCUUCGAAAACUGACAGACUUGAGGGCUUCAGAGGGACACGGAAUUCCGGGUGGAGUGGUGAAAUGCGUAGAGAUCCGGAGGAACACCAGUGGCGAAGGCGGCUUCCUGGUCUGCGACUGACGCUGUGGCGCGAAAGCUAGGGGAGCAAACGGG